rnacentral:siRNA from 1 species
GAUGUGGUGGUGAAUGGUUCUAU